GAUGAACGCUGGCGGCGUGCCUAAUACAUGCAAGUCGAGCGAACAGAUGAGGAGCUUGCUCCUCUGACGUUAGCGGCGGACGGGUGAGUAACACGUGUAUAACCUACCUAUAAGACUGGGAUAACUACGGGAAACCGGAGCUAAUACCGGAUAAUAUAUUGAACCGCAUGGUUCAUUAGUGAAAGACGGCUUUGCUGUCACUUAUAGAUGGAUCCGCCCCGCAUGAGCUAGUUGGUAAGGUAACGGCUUACCAAGGCAACGAUGCGUAGCCGACCUGUGAGAGUGGUCGGCGGCACUGGAAGUGAGACACGGUCCAGACUCCUACGGGAGGCAGCAGUAGGGAAUCUUCCGCAGUGGGCGAAAGCCUGACGGAGCAACGCCGAGUGAGUGAUGGAGGUGUUCGGAGCGUAAAACUCUGUUAUUAGGGAAGAACAAAUGUGGAAGGAAAUAUGCAGGGCUUGACGGUACCUAAUCAGAAAGCCACGGCUAACUACGUG
rnacentral:rRNA from 1 species